CCCGCCGCCAAACAAAAGAUGAGACUUGCUUUAUGGAGAAAGAAGGGUCGGAGAGGGAUCUAUACUACUGGCAGAAACUAUGGCCUUGAGGAUUCAGUUGGAGCACUAUACAUAUCAUCAUCUACUACCUGUGGUAUUGGAAACAGUGAUUGAACAUACAGUCAGGAAAGAUAACAUGUUGGCGGAUGAACCUGUUAAAUCUGUUUCUUGUGCAUCGGUAUCAGCCUCUCGACGGAUCGUUCUUCUAAGAAAAUGGAGACUGAUAAAUCUGACACUGGCACUUUUGAGAUUUUGCUAGAGGAAAAAGGAGAAGGCUUACCACACUCAUAGUUAUUCAGAUUUGACAAUUGUGAACUGUAAAAUGUCUUCAUUGGGAUCGAUUGAGUGAUCGCUUCUCAUCACUCAUCGUCAACAGAUUGACAAUAUAGUUCUAGAAUACAACAGAAGAGGCGAUUUGGUUCCCUAGUUUGACUUUCUAGAAUGUAAGAUUUUUUUUUAUGCUUUUUUUGUUUUCUAUGUUCAGAUUAUUUAUUGGGGCUUUGACAUUUUGGUACUCAGCAGUUUAGUAUUGUUUUUAAGCAAUGAAGAGCCGAUCUGGUGGUCCAUUUUCUUU